rnacentral:rRNA from 1 species
AGUGAACGCUGGCGGUAGGCCUAACACAUGCAAGUCGAACGGGAGCACAGUAAGAGCUUGCUCUUACGGGUGUAGAGUGGCGGACGGGGGAGGAAUACAUCGGAAUCUACUUUUUCGUGGGGGAUAACGUAGGGAAACUUACGCUAAUAACGCAUACGACCUACGGGUGAAAGCAGGGGAUCUUCGGACCUUGCGCGAUUGAAUGAGCCGAUGUCGGAUUAGCUAGUUGGCGGGGUAAAGGCCCACCAAGGCGACGAUCCGUAGCUGGUCUGAGAGGAUGAUCAGCCACACUGUAACUGAGACACGGCCCACACUCCUACGGGAGGCAGCAGUGCGGAAUAUUGGACAAUGGGCGCAAGCCUGAUCCAGCCAUACCGCGUGGGUGAAGAAGGCCUUCGGGUUGUAAAGCCCUUUUGUUGUGAAAGAAAAGCAGCAGGUUAAUCCCCCGCUGUUCUGACGGUACCCAAAGAAUAAGCACCGGCUAACUUCGUG